GACCACCAUGGUUCACCUAUUUCAGUUUUCUCUAAGGGCGUUUGCCUAGAUGUCUUAUUAGAAAAUUAGACAUUGUGACAUGAAAAAAAUUGUGAUUGUGCUUUAUAGAAUUACAUUUUUUACAUAGCUCCAUGAUUAUAAACCUUAUUAAUUCCAACUGGAUACCUCGACAGACGGACUGCCAAGUGAUCAUAGGAUUGCGUUUUUUCUUCUUGAAGUCGGAACUCUAAUAUUACAAAGAAUCCUAGACAAAGGCAACCCUAAUAGUAGAGUAGAAUAGAGACGCAUAUCUGAAUAGAGUCAACACUAGGUUACGUGGAAAUUGUGAAAUUCAGCAUAAGGUGUAAACAGACAAGAUGGGCACAGGAUCAAACAAAGUGGAAAAGGCUGGAGUCCAUUGGAGGCAAACAACACAGAGGGUCACUGAGGACGUCCUUAUCGAGACAAACAAGUCCACAGGGGGGCCUCACUUAC
rnacentral:lncRNA from 1 species